AUUGAACGCUGGCGGCAUGCCUUACACAUGCAAGUCGAACGGUAACGCGGGGCAACCUGGCGACGAGUGGCGAACGGGUGAGUAAUGUAUCGGAACGUGCCCAGUAGUGGGGGAUAGCCCGGCGAAAGCCGGAUUAAUACCGCAUACGACCUACGGGGGAAAGGGGGGGAUCGCAAGACCUCUCGCUAUUGGAGCGGCCGAUAUCAGAUUAGGUAGUUGGUGGGGUAAAGGCCCACCAAGCCGACGAUCUGGAGCUGGUCUGAGAGGACGACCAGCCACACUGGGACUGAGACACGGCCCAGACUCCUACGGGAGGCAGCAGUGGGGAAUUUUGGACAAUGGGGGCAACCCUGAUCCAGCCAUGCCGCGUGAGUGAAGAAGGCCUUCGGGUUGUAAAGCUCUUUCGGUCGGGAAGAAAUCGCACAGGCUAAUACCCUGUGUGGAUGACGGUACCGGCAUAAGAAGCACCGGCUAGCUACGUGCCAGCCGCCGCUGUAACAC
rnacentral:rRNA from 1 species